AGAGUUUGAUCCUGGCUCAGGAUGAACGCUGGCGGCGUGCUUAACACAUGCAAGUCGAACGGGAAUGCCGCGCUGAUGCGAUUUCGGUCAAAUCAUGUGGCAUUCGAGUGGCGGACGGGUGAGUAACGCGUGGGUAACCUGCCUUACACAGGGGGAUAACACCUGGAAACAGGUGCUAAUACCGCAUAAGCGCACAGGGCCGCAUGGCCCGGUGUGAAAAACUCCGGUGGUGUAAGAUGGACCCGCGUCUGAUUAGCUUGUUGGCGGGGUAGGGGCCCACCAAGGCGACGAUCAGUAGCCGGCCUGAGAGGGUGGACGGCCACAUUGGGACUGAGACACGGCCCAAACUCCUACGGGAGGCAGCAGUGGGGGAUAUUGGACAAUGGGGGAAACCCUGAUCCAGCGACGCCGCGUGAGUGAAGAAGUAUUUCGGUAUGUAAAGCUCUGUCAGCAGGGAAGAAAGAAAUGACGGUACCUGACCAAGAAGCCCCGGCUAACUACGUGCCAGCAGCCGCGGUAAUACGUAGGGGGCAAGCGUUAUCCGGAAUUACUGGGUGUAAAGGGAGCGUAGACGGUGAUGCAAGUCUGGAGUGAAAGGCGGGGGCCCAACCCCCGGACUGCUCUGGAAACUGUGUAACUUGAGUGCAGGAGAGGUAAGCGGAAUUCCUAGUGUAGCGGUGAAAUGCGUAGAUAUUAGGAGGAACACCAGUGGCAAAGGCGGCUUACUGGACUGUAACUGACGUUGAGGCUCGAAAGCGUGGGGAGCAAACAGGAUUAGAUACCCUGGUAGUCCACGCCGUAAACGAUGAUUACU
rnacentral:rRNA from 1 species